AUGGCCAAGCAUACUUCCCUUGGGACACUGCUCCAUGCCACGUGUGCCACUACCAAAAAGGUCCUGUUCCUGUCCUUCCGUGGCAAAGGGGGAAGGGUGGGCUGGGCAUCCCUAGAUGGUGCUACACCAGCGGUUGGACGGCGGCAUUAUAAUCGCGUCAGGACAACCUCUGGGACUCGCCAUACCUGCAAUCCAACCGGGAAAACGAAGCUGUUUGCAACAGUUAACCCAAAAGGUAACAAAAUAAUUAGCUCGGUCGCAGCAGCAGCACCCGCCAACCGCGCCCGCCACUGCGCCAUCGCGGGCGGGGUGGGGGGGGAAGGGAGGGAGGAAAAUGCUCGAUCGGCCCGGCAAAGGAGCAAAGCUUUCCAGCCGGGAGCCCCUUCUGCAAAAAAAGCUGUCUCUAGGACUGAGGGACCCCUGACGGGAGACGGAAGGCCAGCCGCCCGCACCCGCUGGGCUUGCUGCUGCUGUCGCCGCCUCCCAGCGGGCGGUGGGCCAAGGCGGCGAUGGAGACCGCAGCAGCAGCCGCUCUUUGCAUCCAAAGCAAAGCAGCUCUUUGCCGUCCAGGCGGCAAAAUUGGUGGCUUUAGGACCGGGGGACAGCGACCUGCCAGGCGGGGAGAGGGCGCAUCAGGGCUCGGCAUCGGAAGCAGCCUCGGGGCGCUCGUCCUUCCAGCGGGAAGGAGAGAGAGGAAGCAGAGCCGGAUCCUCCGCGGAGCAAAGCCCAGACCCAGCGGCGGGUCCCCUUUCGCCCCAUUCCCCACAGCCUUAUCUGCUGACUCCUUUGUCUAGAGGCUCUCCUCUUUCUCUGCGGCUCCAUGUGGCCGAGCGCUAGGACCGCGGAGGAAGGAGAGGAAAUGGAGGCGCGGGGCGGAGUGGGAGAGAGUCUCUAAGCAGCAAUGACCUGGAACUGCAGGGAUUCCUCUUCUUCUUCUCCGGCUGCAAAGGCAGCGUCUGCCUUUGAGACAAAGGGAGGCGACCUCGAUGCUCGUCUCCUUGGAUUAGAAGGGGGGGAUACGAAAGGGGUAAGGGGAGGCGAGGGGCAGCCAGAGGAAGUGUGGCGUGUCCCUGGAGGGAAGCAGGCAGGCGUUGCACCAAGCGGAAGUGUAGCGAAGCUGCUCCAGGGAACCUUUUGGAGAGUGCACCAGACGGGGGAUAUGGCAUUUCCAAGAGGGUAGCACCGAUGAUAUUACUUAGAUUGGGUAAUGAAAAAUCUGCAAGGCAAUAAGCAAGCUCAGGGAGCACCAAAGAGCCCUCGUUUCCAAGCCUUGUACUUCCAGUCAGUGCAAAGUCCUCUUGGCUUCCUGUCAUGUCGGGUUCGUAGACGAUUUCCGGCAAAAGUGGCUGGCCUCUUGUUCUGCUUUACGCUCUAGAUGGGUAUAAAGCAGACAGAGCAACUCCACAAAUCAUCUAUACAAAGUCUUUUUUAUUGGUUCAUCAGGCAUCCUGUCAACUCACAGUUAUGAUGAGGUUCUUCUUAAUGUCCAAUCCUUUGCAUAUCUGAAUCGUGGUGUAGAAAGAUAUUAAACUCUCAUCCUUAUGAUGAUAAUUGAUAAUUGUAGUGACUGCAUGGCUAGACUGCAUGGAUUCAGGCUAGAGUGAGGAAGCCUCCCCCAACCCAACAAGGGUCAAUUUAGUGACCAAUCAGGAUUACAGAUGUGACCACAUGACAUGGACUACAUUUCCCAUGAUAUCUUAACUACAUUUCCCAUGAUGCAUUCCCUUAAGGGGACAGCUCUCAAUUCCUAACUACCUAUCCCAAAUCCCAUUAACUCUAAACUGGCUGGACAGCAUACUCCCCGCCUGGAAUUGUAAAUUCCACUAACUAAGUAAGGAGCAAUUAACUAAGAUAAACAGUAAAGAGUAAUACUGAAUAGCAGAUAAUUAUAUAAGUAAAAUAGGCAGUAAACAGUAAUACUAACUGAAUAGCAGAUAACUAUAUAACUAAAAUAAACAGGUAGCUAUAUAAGUAAAGGAAACAGUAAAUAGCAAUAAAGCAUCAAACAAAGCAAAGCAUGCAAAGCUUGAGGUUCAAUCUUCAAGUUCAGCCUUUCUCCGUAGCAACACUAGGUCGGUGACCGGUCAGGAGUAGAGCUUCUUGGACUUCUGGUUCCGCCCUCCUCGUUGACAGACUGGGGACAGCGACUGUGUGCAGCCUUGGUUCGUGCUCUCGGAGACCCCCAAUCUGUCCGAUUAGGGGCUGAAGCUGCCUCGGAGGGGCAGCGGAGUAAGGGGAAACCGCAAGCCAGGUCAAGGAGAGCCGCAUCUCUCAUCCCUGGGCUUGGCAUUUUUUCCCUUGAAGACAACCGAACGGUGGUCCAAAAUGGCCACCCUGAAGAGGAGGACCUAGCCGGGCUAAGCUUGUGCAGGAGGAAAGAAAGAGGUGGACAACAUAAGAACCGGGACAAUUUGGCGCAACAACUAAUUUAAAAGGUACCCCAGGAUUGAUGUUUAAACUAUUUUUUUUUAAAGAAAGAAAGCGGCGGAAUUAGAAAAAGAAGGAAAAAAGUGAAAAUACUUUUUACAGCUGAGUGAGGCUUUGAACCGGAAUAGGAAGAAGCCUGUAGUAGCCACUGAGAUUCCCUGGAUGACACUAGAAGCUAGCAGCACACUGCAGCCUGGUGGAGGGGGCCUCUUUUGCUAACCCAUGAUCUCAUCCUCUAUCUGUUGGGUUGGAAAGUCCCUGAUUUUCCAGGUAUAUAGGUGAUCUCAUUUACUAACAUCACCACCAACCUUAAGGAUUGGUUGAGGGGUUAUACCAAUGUGGUUGAGGGGUUUCACCCAUGUGGGAUCUAUUCUCCAAUCCCAAUGCUGUAUCUAUGCUGCUCUUUCUUGCUUGUAAAAAUGGUAUAAAAAUAAUAAAUGCCACAUAUGUGGUCAGACAUCUUUGGACACUGAAAUGACUGGUUAUUGAAUUCCCACAAAUGGUGCCCGAACAGGGACAACAAUCCUCCGGGGUAGGCAACAGCCAACGUACUUACUGCCAUCUGAAAUAGACCCUAAGGUGCACCUUCGUCCCACGGGACCCCUUCAGUGGUAAGUAUGGGUUGCAAUCGGUCUCAGCAUCAGCAGAAACAUGUUCAGGAACUUAAAUUCCUGUUACAUAAAUCAGGUGCAAUAGUACCUGAGGCUGACAUAAAUAAGCUGAUUGAGGAGAUAGGGAAACAUUGUCCCUGGUACCCUGAGCGCUGGACGCUCAGGUUACAGGAUUGGAUAAAGAUAGGGCAUACUUUACAUCUUGAACCCAGGGCUCCAGUUCAAAUAUUAUAUCUAUGGUAUCAAUGCUGUCAUGCAGUGGAAACAUCUGGCUCUGAUGUCUCAGCAAAAUAAUAAUUGUCUAUAAGCCCCACUCCUGAUUAUGAUCAGGUAAAAAUUGUCACUCAAAAAUCUUCUCUAAUUGGACUUUCAGCUCCUUCUGAGCAGGCUAAAUUUGUUGAUUCUCCAAAGCCAUUGUACACCCCCAUAAAGCAAAUAUUAAAGAAACAAUUAGAAAAAGGGGGAGAUUCAAGCUAGAAACCCAAGACAACACAUAAAUUUAUUUGUUUACAUUUUUAUGUUUAAUCUUUUUUGAUUAUUUAGUGUUUAAAGAGAUAGAACAAUGGAUGUAACUAGAAUACAGGCAACUGCUCUCUUCUGAUGCACUGGAUGGCAGAAUUGAAUGUAGAAGGCAUGCCCUAUUGAGUUCAAUGGUCUACAGUUGGUUCUGCUGUUCAGAAGCAUGGAACGAGGCACAGAUCUGUUAGGAAGCCCCUCCAUACAAUACAAUGGGGCUGUUCAAAGAAAAUAUGGUUAAUUUAGACUGUUAUGUGUUAGGAAGAACUAAGAGAAGAAUAAAAUGUUUACUAUUCUUUUCAUGAUGUGAUUUUCAUUAAAACUUCUUAGAUGUG
ensembl:lncRNA